rnacentral:rRNA from 1 species
UACGAAGGGAGCUAGCGUUGUUCGGAAUUACUGGGCGUAAAGGGCGCGUAGGCGGCUUCGCUAGUUGGGCGUGAAAUGACUGGGCUUAACCCAGGAAUUGCGCCCAAUACUUCGAGGCUCGAGUGUGGGAGAGGAUAGUGGAAUUCCCAGUGUAGAGGUGAAAUUCGUAGAUAUUGGGAAGAACACCAGCGGCGAAGGCGGCUAUCUGGACCACAACUGACGCUGAGGCGCGAAAGCGUGGGGAGCAAACAGG